AGAGUUUGAUCCUGGCUCAGGAUGAACGCUGGCGGCGUGCCUAAUACAUGCAAGUCGAACGAAACUUCUUUAUCACCGAGUGCUUGCACUCACCGAUAAAGAGUUGAGUGGCGAACGGGUGAGUAACACGUGGGCAACCUGCCCAAAAGAGGGGGAUAACACUUGGAAACAGGUGCUAAUACCGCAUAACCAUAGUUACCGCAUGGUAACUAUGUAAAAGGUGGCUAUGCUACCGCUUUUGGAUGGGCCCGCGGCGCAUUAGCUAGUUGGUGGGGUAAAGGCUUACCAAGGCAAUGAUGCGUAGCCGAACUGAGAGGUUGAUCGGCCACAUUGGGACUGAGACACGGCCCAAACUCCUACGGGAGGCAGCAGUAGGGAAUCUUCCACAAUGGGCGAAAGCCUGAUGGAGCAACGCCGCGUGGGUGAAGAAGGUCUUCGGAUCGUAAAACCCUGUUGUUAGAGAAGAAAGUGCGUGAGAGUAACUGUUCACGUUUCGACGGUAUCUAACCAGAAAGCCACGGCUAACUACGUGCCAGCAGCCGCGGUAAUACGUAGGUGGCAAGCGUUAUCCGGAUUUAUUGGGCGUAAAGGGAACGCAGGCGGUCUUUUAAGUCUGAUGUGAAAGCCUUCGGCUUAACCGGAGUAGUGCAUUGGAAACUGGGAGACUUGAGUGCAGAAGAGGAGAGUGGAACUCCAUGUGUAGCGGUGAAAUGCGUAGAUAUAUGGAAGAACACCAGUGGCGAAAGCGGCUCUCUGGUCUGUAACUGACGCUGAGGUUCGAAAGCGUGGGUAGCAAACAGGAUUAGAUACCCUGGUAGUCCACGCCGUAAACGAUGAAUGCUAAGUGUUGGAGGGUUUCCGCCCUUCAGUGCUGCAGCUAACGCAAUAAGCAUUCCGCCUGGGGAGUACGACCGCAAGGUUGAAACUCAAAGGAAUUGACGGGGGCCCGCACAAGCGGUGGAGCAUGUGGUUUAAUUCGAAGCAACGCGAAGAACCUUACCAGGUCUUGACAUCCCGAUGACGAAGGCGUAACGGCCUUUUCCCUUCGGGGCAUUGGAGACAGGUGGUGCAUGGUUGUCGUCAGCUCGUGUCGUGAGAUGUUGGGUUAAGU
rnacentral:rRNA from 1 species